rnacentral:lncRNA from 1 species
CACACCCAGCCUAUUAUUUCUAAUACAGUUUUUUUUUUGUUUUUUUUUUUACUAUUCUUACUUCUACAAGUUAUUUACAAGAUGAAUCAAAAGAUAGAUGAUAGAUAAAUAGACAGAUACAGAUAGAUAAUUAAAAGCGUCCAUUGGACCUAAAUGGUAAAAGGUGAUUAUUUUUCCUGGUAUUCUGAGGGUUAAGGCCUCACAUGAUUCCUGUAACUCUACAAGUUACUUAUUAGUUGAGUAAACCUGAAAGAGAUUAAGAAUUCGGUGGCCUUUGUGAGGCACUGCCCCACCCUGCCCACCAGGCUCUGCCGCUCCAUGGCAACUCCAGCCAGCUCCUCCCUCCCCCUGCCACCAGCUGGUGAAGUCACCAGAACUGCCACCCUCGGGCAUUGUGGGGCAAUGAAGGUGGGUGGAGGGAAUGAGGCACCACAACAGUAUUUCCCUCUAGCAGCUCCUGGGACUGGGUUUUCUGGCAUUUCUAUCUCCCCCAAAUAUCUGUAACAGGCGGUGUUCAUAUCUCUAAAUCAGAGUUCUGGCUGCUGAGGUAGCAGGACUGAGACCGGGGCUGGACCCUGACUGAGACCCAGGAGCCAGCAGCCUCUAGCCACUCCAGUCACAGGCACAGCCCAGGGACCCACCGCCACGCCCUCCUGCAAGAUAAAGGAAGCAGCAACUCAGACAUCAGGGUGGACACACCCACCAAAACACAAGGAGAGGCCCUGAAAAGUAACUGGAAAGUCACAGACCGUUCUGGCAAGUGGAGUUGAUGAGAAACAGGCCCCAGAGACUCGGAUUGGAGCGAGAGAGUUCCAUGGGCUCAGCUGGGAAAUGAGGCACAAGGAGCCAGCCCCAGAACAGAGACCCCUCCAAAGCCAACAGCUCCAGAACCGCCUCUUGCCACAACAUUCAAUGCCCUGGCUUUGAUGUUUUGUGUCUCUUGCUGACUCACAAACUUGGGAGGUAACUGGCUUUCCCUAUCAAAAAUUACUAACCCUUGAGGGGCAAUUUCGCGAUAGCUGUCAACAUUUUCAAUGUUCAUAAUCUGGACACCAUUGAUUCUGCCUACUUUCAGGGGUUUUUCCUCAGAUAUGCCCAGACAUACACAGGAUUUCUGGAUCAUUGAUUAGGGAAAAAAUGAUGCCAUCUAAUUGUCUUUCAUCAAGAACCCACUAUUUGGCUGGGUGCAGUGGCUCACACCUGUAAUCCCAGCACUUUAAGA